rnacentral:rRNA from 1 species
AGUGGCGAACGGGUGAGUAACACAUCGGAACGUGUCCUGACGUGGGGGAUAACCAGUCGAAAGACUGGCUAAUACCGCAUACGCUCGGGAGAGGAAAGCGGGGGCUCGCAAGACCUCGCGCGGCAGGAGCGGCCGAUGUCGGAUUAGCUAGUUGGUGGGGUAAAGGCUUACCAAGGGUACGAUGGGUAGCUGGUCUGAGAGGACGAUCAGCCACACUGGAACUGAGACACGGUCCAGACUCCUACGGGAGGCAGCAGUGGGGAAUAUUGCGCAAUGGGGGAGACCCUGACGCAGCCACGCCGCGUGAGUGAUGAAGGCCUUCGGGUUGUAAAGCUCUGUCGGGAGGGAAGACAUCGACGGUACCUCCCAAGAAAGCACCGGCUAACUCCGUGCCAGCAGCCGCGGUAAUACGUAGGGUGCGAGCGUUAAUCGGAAUUACUGGGCGUAAAGCGUGCGCAGGCGGUACGUUAAGACAGGUGUGAAAUCCCCGGGCUUAACCUGGGAAUUGCGCUUGUGACUGGCGUGCUCGAGUGCGGCAGAGGGGGGUGGAAUUCCAGGUGUAGCAGUGAAAUGCGUAGAUAUCUGGAGGAGCACCGAUGGCGAAGGCAGCCCCCUGGGCCGACACUGACGCUCAGGCACGAAAGCGUGGGGAGCAAACAGGAUUAGAUACCCUGGUAGUCCACGCCCUAAACGAUGUCGACUGGUUGUUG